GGGGGCGUAGCUCAGGUUGUAGAGCGCUCGCUUAGCAUGCGAGAGGAACCAGGGUCGAUGACUGGCGCCUCCA
rnacentral:tRNA from 1 species